GGGGAUUGUCUAAAGCGUUAGGGCUGCGGGUUUUGGUCCCGCCUAUUGGGGUUCGAAUCCCUAUCCCUA
rnacentral:tRNA from 1 species